rnacentral:lncRNA from 1 species
GGGAAUGAAAGCCACAACCCCAGAGCUCGGGGAGGAAACCCACGGCUCGAGCGAGACAAGGUGCAAGACGAGCGAACGACAGCGCCGUCGACCAAGAUCCAGUGUCCCCGACCGCCUCCGAGCUCCACCGCCGGCGACAGAAGCGACGGCCCCGACCCCCUCCUUCCAGUGCUGAGGAUCCAAGCUCCGCCCCUCCAGCUACGGCGACGGACCGUGGCCGUAACCGUUCUGCUUCCCCGGAUCUCCCCUCCACCUCCAAGCUCAGAUCCCCUCCGGCGACGGCGACGACGACGGUUUCGCGGACGUAUUCAUCUCAUCUGAUCAAGGGUUAGCCCCCCCAAAUACCCCAAAUACAUUUUUCUUCAGUUUAUGCCUUCACCGUCCCUGAUCUUGAACCACCAAUUCCAUAGCAUCUUGUAUUUUUCUUGUGUAGCUGCUCUGCACUUGUUUUAGAGCAAAGCUUGCAUCAAUAUUUUUACCUAUUUUUGACCUCUCAUUCUGAAAUACAUCUAGCAGGUGCGGCCAGUACUCUGUUAUUCUCCUACAUAUAGCUGUAUACGCAUCUGAAAGGGCAAGUACUUGGAUGUCCUUGACAACAUCAUACUGAUUGUAAUAACUUGCAUAAGACUCUGUAUUUGAAGAUGUUCCAGUCCUGCAUUAUUUAACAGAAUUACCAUUAAAGAAAAUCGAGGACAGAAAUAUAUUUCCAGGACAGGCUAGAGAAAAAGCUGGUAUUUAUGGGGUAGCACUCAAACAACCGCUAUGCACUAAAUUCAGAUCAGAACUACAUUGCUAGUAUAUCAAGUGACGUUGAAUUGUGAGGAACCAGCCUAUAUAGUAAAAAUACAAAUUCUUGAUUAGAGCAUGCAGUUUGAUGAUAUUUUUCAUGUAACUUACUAAGUUUGCUACCCCUUUUUAUAUCUGUAUUCAAGUUUGGUUAUUGGUCAUGCAUGUAGCUAUGGGGUGUAUCUUACAAAUUUUAAUUAUUUAAGAUAAUCUUCAGUCCAACCAAAUAAUCCCGUGAGCUGGCUGAUCCAGUCUUCUAGUUUGAUUUCGUUGAUUGUUUAGUUCAUCAAAGGUGAUAGUUUCCUUGUCCAGGGAAGCCACUGAAGAAGCUUGCUCUGUUUCUUGUGUAUGUGUCCUGCAUUUUCACACUUCAACCGAUUAAGCCGCUCUUGUUUUGUUAGUUUUGGUAGUGAAGCUCAACCAAACAUGGUUUUGUAAUGGGCUUAAAGACUUGAUCCUCACUCAAAUUUCAGACUUGAUUAUUAACCUAAUAUAUAUUCCUCUGUUUGCUUUAUUAAAUAAAUGGUCCAAAAGGUAGUGAAGCUUGCACUAAUGAUUGAGACAAACAAUGUUGCUACUACAUGCAUGAGAGGUAAGGUGUGUUUCUUGAGAAAGGAGUGAAAAUACCUGUAGAAAAUAUGUGGAGGCGUUGGCAGCGUUAAUGUGCUAUUGAGGUUCUCUUCUAACUUAUGCCUAACAAAAAAAAUCUAUAUAGCUUCUUCCAAAAUAUAUAGUCAAGGUUUGUCAUAAUAAUAAUAUAGUGUAUAUAUAUGCUCCUCGUGAUCAUUGUCACAUAGUAGCAGUAGUAAUAUCAUAUUCAUCUUGUAAUAUGUUUUUUGUUCUGUUCUGCUGACCAAAUGCCUCCCUAUCUUUUCUUCUUCUUUGAGUGCCUAAGUUUAUCCCAGAUUGCAUCAUUUUCCUUACCUAUGGAAAUGAAAUUGAACUUGUUGCUUGAGUGCUUGACUAAUUUGGAGUUGAUUGGUUUUCUUAUAGCCAACUAUAGGAGAGGUAUAAUCUCAUGCAUGUGCAGGUACUACUUCCUAUUAAUCCCUUUAUUGGAGAUGCAUGUUAAUCCCUUUAUUGGAGAUGCAUGUUAAUCCCUUUAUUGGAGAUGCAUGUUAUGUUACCACUACAGCAGAUUAAAGGUCGUACAUAGUAUCAAUGUAUUUUUCUCGGUCUUUAUAAAGUAUAAUUCUACAUUUUGCUGUGGAAAAACCUACCUUGCCUAUUGUGCCAAAAAGUCUGCCUAGUGAUGCUUUAUUUGCUAACUUACAUGAGUCCAUUGUCACCAUUUGGUUUAUGUUAAUUAAUAUGCAGUUACAGCUCUAAUCUAAAUAGGCUGGGUUGAACUGUAGGUAGAUUGGUGAUGUCCAUAACCAAUUGGACCUUUCCAUGCUCGAUUUAUCUUGUGCAGAUGAUAUGUGUAACUUCCUUGUCAUCCAGUAGAGAGGUUUCAGCUUUGUGUAACCACUUGUAUAGAAAAAUCAUGCUUACUUUUGAUGUGAAAUCGAUUAUGUUAUUAAGAAGUGAGAAAAAACCAUGCUUAUAAAAAUCAUGAUUAUUUUUUCUCUACAGGUUCCUUGCUGCAAGUCGAUGGAAAUGUUUGAUAAGUUGAUGAUCGAAGUUUCCAAGUUUAGUAUGGAGAGUUUACAUGGCUGAUUUUUUUUAAAAUGGAACAAAAUAUUGUAUCAUGUUUGGACUUGUAACUAUAAUUAGCAUUUUCACUUUUGAAGCAUGAUCAACAUACUAUGCUUGUCCUCGAUGACGCAUAAUUUGUUUGAUGUGACAUGUAAGUCCGAUACACAUGUGUUGAUGUGAGUUGAAUAUUUUGUUGUUUUUCUAACUAUCUGUGUGUUCUUAUUUUCCUCCAAAUUUCUAUAUUAACUUUAUUCUCAAAUUUCCUCAAUUCCUGAGAAAUUGGGCAGUUUAUAUUCUGGGAUUAG